UACGGAGGUGCAAGCGUUGUCCGGAUUUAUUGGGGUUAAAGGGUGCGUAGGCGGCCCUGUAAGUCAGUGGUGAAACCCUUGGGCUUAAACCCAAGGAGUGCCCAUUGAUACUGCAGGGCUUGGGUCAUCUUUGGGCGGGCGGAAUGGAUGGUGUAGCGGUGAAAUGCAUAGAUAUCAACCAGAACGCCGAUAGCGAAGGCAGCUCGCUGAGGAUGUACCGACGGCUGAGGCACGAUAGCGUGGGGAGUCAAACAGG
rnacentral:rRNA from 1 species